rnacentral:rRNA from 1 species
AUGCAGUCGAGGGGCAGCGCGAGUAGCAAUACUUGGCGGCGACCGGCGCAAGGGUGCGUAACGCGUGAGCAACAUGCCCGUAUCAGGGGGAUAAUCCAGGGAAACUUGGUCUAAUACCCCAUAGUAAUUUUAUAAGGCAUCUUAUGGAAUUUAAAGCUUUGGUGGAUACGGAUUGGCUCGCGUGACAUUAGCUGGAUGGUAAGGUAACGGCUUACCAUGGCUACGAUGUCUAGGGGUUCUGAGAGGAAGGUCCCCCACACUGGAACUGAGACACGGUCCAGACUCCUACGGGAGGCAGCAGUGAGGAAUAUUGGACAAUGGAUGGAAAUCUGAUCCAGCCAUGCCGCGUGCAGGAAGACGGUCCUAUGGAUUGUAAACUGCUUUUGUAUGGGAGCAAUAAGGCCUUCGUGAAGGCUGAUGAGAGUACCAUACGAAUAAGCACCGGCUAACUCCGUGCCAGCAGCCGCGGUAAUACGGAGGGUGCAAGCGUUAUCCGGAUUUAUUGGGUUUAAAGGGUGCGUAGGCGGUUAUUUAAGUCAGUGGUGAAAGUUUUCGGCUCAACCGGAAAAUUGCCAUUGAUACUGGAUAGCUAGAAUAUGGUUGCUGUGAGUAGAAUGUGUGGUGUAGCGGUGAAAUGCAUAGAUAUCACACAGAAUACCGAUUGCGAAGGCAUCUCACAAAGCCAUCAUUGACGCUGAGGCACGAAAGUGUGGGGAUCAAACAGGAUUAGAUACCCUGGUAGUCCACACUGUAAACGAUGAUAACUAGCUGUUGGCGAUA